GAAAAUUUGAAAUCAUAAUAAAUAAAUUAUAAACUAUGAAAGGUUAACAAAAAAUUUGAGAAAACUAAUUAAGAAAAAAAAAAUCAAAAUUUGCUAUAUCUAUUUAAAAUUUUUUACAAGUAUUUGGGGAUACAAGACUUCUCAUUGCCUCUCCUCUCUCUACUCAUGUACACAUAUUUAAGAUUUUUUAUAAGUUUUUGGGGUGGCCAAGGCGCCCCUUGUCCCCCCUCCCUCCGCGGCUCUGCCCAUGUUUGAACUAUUACCUUUUACACUAUGAUGUAGACACUCAACUCAACUACUAUGGUACUAGCUCAAUGGUCGAGUGCUUAAUUAGCCUUUAAUAUCUUGUUAUUAUCAAUAUUCGAUGAUUGCAUCCAUCAUAUGGUUUUGAAUUACUCAUGUGGCCUAAAGAACUGGGCUGAUAAAUGUUGAUCUUCCUUGCCUUAUUUUUUGCCAUGCUGAAUUUAAUUUUACUGGGGUUAGGCUGUCUGUACCUGCAGAUGCACUUUAGUUUAUAUGAUUUUGUGUCCCUCCAUGUUUUGGUAAUCCUAUUAGUUUCUAUUGCUUUGUACAAAGCAUGUUGCUUUAUAAUGUACUAGUGGGUCCUAAUUAUUUGACUCUGGCCAUUUGAUGCAGAUGUUGGACUAUAAUGUACCUAGA
rnacentral:misc_RNA from 1 species